AUUGAACGCUGGCGGCAUGCCUUACACAUGCAAGUCGAACGGUAACAGGUUAAGCUGACGAGUGGCGAACGGGUGAGUAAUGUAUCGGAACGUGCCCAGUCGUGGGGGAUAACUGCUCGAAAGAGCAGCUAAUACCGCAUACGACCUGAGGGUGAAAGCGGGGGAUCGCAAGACCUCGCGCGAUUGGAGCGGCCGAUAUCGGAUUAGGUAGUUGGUGAGGUAAAGGCUCACCAAGCCGACGAUCUGUAGCUGGUCUGAGAGGACGACCAGCCACACUGGGACUGAGACACGGCCCAGACUCCUACGGGAGGCAGCAGUGGGGAAUUUUGGACAAUGGGCGCAAGCCUGAUCCAGCCAUGCCGCGUGCGGGAAGAAGGCCUUCGGGUUGUAAACCGCUUUUGUCAGGGAAGAAAAGGUUCUGGCUAAUACCUGGGACUCAUGACGGUACCUGAAGAAUAAGCACCGGCUAACUACGUG
rnacentral:rRNA from 1 species